rfam:Malassezia sympodialis ATCC 42132 genomic scaffold, msy_sf_4
GGGGAAUUAGCUCAGUGGUAGAGCGCUUGCUUAGCAUAUAUGCCUGCAUGAGGCCAUGGGUUCAAUUCCCAUAUUCUCCA